AGGACGACGCUGGCGGCGUGCCUAAUACAUGCAAGUCGAGCGGACCGACGGGAGCUUGCUCCCUAGGUCAGCGGCGGACGGGUGAGUAACACGUGGGUAACCUGCCUGUAAGACUGGGAUAACUCCGGGAAACCGGGGGCUAAUACCGGAUGCUUGAUUGAACCGCAUGGUUCCAAUCAUAAAAGGUGGCUUUUAGCUACCACUUACAGAUGGAUCCGCGGCGCAUUAGCUAGUUGGUGAGGUAACGGCUCACCAAGGCGACGAUGCGUAGCCGACCUGAGAGGGUGAUCGGCCACACUGGGACUGAGACACGGCCCAGACUCCUACGGGAGGCAGCAGUAGGGAAUCUUCCGCAAUGGACGAAAGUCUGACGGAGCAAACCGCCGCGUGAGUGAUGAAGGUUUUCGGAUCGUAAAACUCUGUUGUUAGGGAAGAACAAGUACCGUUCGAAUAGGGCGGUACCUUGACGGUACCUAACCAGAAAGCCACGGCUAACUACGUGCCAGCAGCCGC
rnacentral:rRNA from 1 species